UAUACAACUUUCAGCAAUGGAUCUCUUGGCUCUCGCAUCGAUGAAGAACGCAGCGAAAUGCGAUAAGUAAUGUGAAUUGCAGAAUUCAGUGAAUCAUCGAAUCUUUGAACGCACCUUGCGCUCCUUGGUAUUCCGAGGAGCAUGCCUGUUUGAGUGUCAUUAAAUUCUCAAC
rnacentral:rRNA from 1 species